CUGAGGUCUUAGAAUGAAUUAAAAGGAAUUCAUUCCUUUGCCUUAACAAUGAAAAUGUAAUGAAUGAAGAAAGUGAAUGAAGGGACAGACAAGUAAACUGGAGUAUGAAUUCCUUGUGAGUGUGCAGUAUAAGCUCUUAGAGUUCAUGUUCAUGAAUUUAAGCUGGAUUCAACAGCACUGGAUUCAACUACACUGCUUUUCUUCAGAUACAUCCUGCAGCAUUGUAAGUAUAGAACAGGUCAACAAUAAAUGUAUAGUUUCCUGAUGAGAAGGCAACAGUUGAAGGUCAUAGGUCUGCAUCUAUUUCCUAUUGAACAGCUUUGCUGGUCACAAAAGCACAGACCUCAGUUCUAUUGUUCUCAUCAUAACUCAAGUCACCACUUUCUCUUCAAAAGAUGUAAACCCAAGACUAUGGUGUUCUCCCCCAAACUCUGAACUUCACCAAGAAAUCAACUUUUGGGUUUUUGUUCCUUUGUUUUUUUCCUGGAUACUGGUUCUGAGUAUUCAGCUACGACAGGAGCUAAUUUAUGGGAUAAAACUCAGUACACAUUUAUUGAGUGAAUAAUCUACUAGGAGCCGCAUAUGUGUCAUUCUUCAUACUUCAGUUUCCUUGGUGAAGAAA
rnacentral:lncRNA from 1 species